CUAUUUGCAAAAACCAGUUUCCUCAUUCUGAAUUUAAUUAAAACUUCUGUUUCUGUCCUGAUUCUCCUGUAUCUAGUCUGCUUUUGCAAUGCUGGCCACCCACAGGUUGAACUGGUUCCAAUCCAGAAAAAUACAGAAAGCUUGGGAAGAUUUAUAUGAAAUUAUGCAAAGUAAAGUUAGAAGAAUCAAAAGAACAUUGUAGACAGUAACAGCAAUAUUGUAAAGAAGUUCAAAUUGUAAAAGACUUAGUUAUUCUGAUCAAGACAAAGAUCCAAGACAAUUCCAAAUGACCUAAAAUGAAAAAUACGAUCCAUCUCCAGAGAGAGAACUGAUGCAGACUGAAGCAUACAUGUCUGGGCUUAGAGAUGAUUUUGUGCAUUCAAGAGAUCUGGAGGUCCUGGUUGCUUUUGAUUGGAGCUACCUGGCAGCCUAGGGAAGAUGCCUGGGUCCUAUUGCUAUGAUGUUGCUCCUUGGAUAAUGGCUUUAGGAAGGAUGCUGGAAGUAGGAUUAAUGCUCUGGGGAAGAAGACACUAUUUUUCCUGAGGCUUUGGGACUUUCUUUUCUAUAGGUAUUAUUGGUGGUAGAGACAGGUGGCACCCUGUUUCCACAGGAUUGCUCCCUUGGGUUGGAUUAAGUGAUCUUUAGAGAUCAUUAAUACAUCUUAUGGCCCCUUUAAACUCUAAAUCUUCUGCCUAUGACUGAGGAUAGUGGCUGUGGAAUAUGUGAGAACACAGGAAACUAGUGAAAGAAGUAGCAAUAUGGAUCCAAUGGUCACCAAUAACAGAGGGCAGUAGUCCCAUAAUGGAGGAAAUGAGUGACUGCAAUGGAUCCCUGGUACAGAAGAAAAUUUUCAUCUGAAACAUAAAAUAGUUAUGGAAGUCUCAGCUUUAAACAUCUCCAAGUCACCACCACCCUAUCCCACCCAGACAGUCCUGACUUGGACAAAUAGGAAAAUUUUUCUUGGUCUCCAUGUCUUAAUUAAAUUCAACAUUUUAUUUAAAAGUUCAUUAAGAAGGGGCAGCUAGGUGGUGAAGUGGAUAGAGCACCAGCCCUGAAGUCAGGAGGACCUGAGUUCAAAUAUGAUCUCAGACACUUAACAUUUCCUAGCUGUUUUGACCCUGGGCAAGUAUUUAACCCUAAUUGCCUCAGGAAAAAAAAAAUUAAAUUAAAUUAAAAUAAAUAAAUAAAAAGAAAAAAGAAAAGCACUAAGUAGCACACUGUACUUAAUAACAGCAACAUUGUGUGAUAAUCAGCUAUGAGGGACUUACAUUUUCUCAGCAUACAAUGUUCCAAAAGACUCAUAAUGGAAAUUGUUAUCCAGAUCCAAAGAACCAUGAAGUCUGAAUAUAGAUCAAAGCAUACUAUUUUCACUUUUUUGGUUUAGUUUUUUUUUUCUCCUAGUUUUUCUUUUUAGUUCUGAUCUUUCAUAAAAUGACUAAAAUGGAAACAUUUGAAGUAAUUGUACUUCCAUAACCCAUAUCAAAUUGUUGUCAUGGGGAGGGGGGAGGGAGGUAAGGGAAGGAGGAAGAAAAACUUUAAAACUCAAAAUCUUACAAAAGUGAAUGUUGAAAGCUAUCUUUUCAGGUAAUUGGAAAAAUGAAAUCCUAUUGAGGAAAAAAAAAACUACUGUGUACUAUUUAAGGUAUUAUGGUUGAUGCAAGAAUAUUAAGACCCUUCCUUAAGAAGUUUACAUUCAAAGCCUACAGAAACCUCGGUAGUGACUGUUUCUCGAGUACAAUAUAUCUUUUGAAUAGUCAUUCGGCCUUUUUAGUUAACUAGAUGACCCAGAAGGUAAGAGUGCUGGGUCUGGAGUUAGGAAGACGAAUUCCAAUGUAGCAUCAAAGACUUACUAGCUCUGAGACUCUGGGCAAGUCACUUAGUAGUCCUGUUUGCCUCAGUUUCCUCACCUGUAAAAAGAGGAUGAUAAAACCUAGAUUGUUGUGAGUAUUAAAAGAGAUAACUAUAAAGUGUUUAGCCCAGUUCAUUUCUAGGCAUUUAAUAAUACUUGUUUCUUUCUUUUCUUUCUUUGUUUCAUGACAUCCAGUGAGAAGGAACCUACUGUGUCCUGAGAGUAGCCUAUUCUCAUUUUUAGAUGGAGCUAAGAUUUUUCUUACCUUAAGCUUAAAUAUGCAGAUUUUAGACUUAUAACCAUUGUCUCUAGGUCUCCCGUGGGGAGCCAAGCAGAAUGAGCCUCAUCCUUCAACCACUAACAGCACACACUGUAGUAGAGAGAGAACUGAGUCUGAAAUUAGGAAAAUCUGAGUUAAAAUCUGGCAUCAAGUUCUGACUAGCUAUGAGACCCUGGACAAAUCAUUUAAUAGCUGUUUGCAAAAAUUUCCUCAUCAGUAAAAUGAAGAUAACAAUCAUACCUACCACCCAGAGUAUCUAUGAGGAUCAAAUGAAAUAAAUAUUUAAAAGUACUUAA